rnacentral:lncRNA from 1 species
GUUGAAAGAUGGCAUGGAAUGUUCCUAGGGAGCAGGGGAGUGGGUGGGAGGAAGGAGAGUGGGAGGGGCUAGGGGCUGCAAUCACAGCUGGCCUUCUAUAAAUUCAGCAGGAGAUUCUGCUGGUUUCUGUGCCCUAGAUCACUUGACAGUUAGACAGUGAGAAGCUAUUGCUUUUUGGGCAUCUUAACUUUGAGAUCAUGAGUGGAAUCACCCAGGAGCAAAAAGAGGCCAGUGGUGGCUCUGGCAGUGCCUCUGCAGGUAGCCAGGAAUCCUGGGACCCCAAUGUACUGGAUCUGACUUGCCGAGAGGGAUCCUGGGAUGAUGACCUUCCUCAAAGUGAGCUCGCCCUGGAGCCUUCCCCAACCGAAGACUUGGACUUCAAAGGAAUCGUGUCCCGCAGAGGCAAAAGCAGCAGCAUUUACAAGGCCAGACAGAGUGCUGCUACAUUCAGAAUUGGAAAAGGAAAAGGUGAUGGCAACUGGGCUAGUAGAAGGAAUCUGGAGAGGAUUGAGAAGGAAGGCACUGUGCCGGCCAGCCAGAGAGACGAGGAGAUAAAAGAGCUAGGCAAGCAGCAGCAAGCUAAGACCAACAUGGAGAGAGAGGCUGAAGGCAAAGGUGACGACGGCAUGGGAAACCAGGCUUAGGAGGAGCCAGCUUGGAGGAGGAAGAGGACCCUGAAGAUCCAGGCAGCCAAGACCAGCCAGGCCUUCUCUACCAAGGCCAGCAUGUGCUCCCCACUGUCCUAUGUCUAACAGGUCCCUCAGCUGCCCCUCCUCUGCCUUUCACACUUUCCCACUUCUUGCAAGUCUCCCAGGAGACAGAGUAAAACCGCAGUAGUUUUGCUUUUUUAACUUUGACGCUUGUAUUCAUUUGAUAAUUAAAAAGUAAAUUGUUCCUUUUGCAGUUUUGUUUUGUUUUGUUUUUUAAAGGGGGGCUGUUGGGGAGGAGGGGAAGGGACACCCUGGAGUAAGUGGGAGUGUCCAUCUUUGAGGACCUGGUAUGGCCAAGCAGCAAAGUCCCCCCGGGGCCAGGUGAGAUGAUGUAUGUAGUAGGGGAUGGCCUGCACACUGGCCUC